GAUGAAGAACGUAGCGAAAUGCGAUAAGUAAUGCGAAUUGCAGAAUUUCCGUGAGUCAUCGAAUCUUUGAACGCACAUUGCGCCCACUGGUAUUCCGGUGGGCAUGCCUGUUCGAGCGUCAUUAUCCUCCCUCAAACCCCGGGUUUGGUGUUGGACCCAAGUUGUGUGAACAACUGGUCUCAAAGACAAUGACGGCGUCCGUGGGACCCUCGGUGCAACGAGCUUUUAGGAGCACGCAUCGAGUUGCAAGGACCUUCCGGGCCGGUCUCCUUUACCAUUUUACAAGGUUGAACUCGGAUCAGGUAGGAAUACCCGCUGAACUUAAGCAUAUCAAUAAGCGGAGGA
rnacentral:misc_RNA from 1 species